GACGUUGUGUUUUUCACUCCCUGCUUAAGGAUGUAAAUGAAGACCCUGGAGAAGAUGUGGCCCUCCUUUCUGUCAGUUUUGAGGACACGGAAGCCACUCAGGUGUAUCCCAAGCUGUACUUGUCACCCCGAAUUGAACAUGCACUUGGAGGCUCCUCAGCUCUUCAUAUCCCAGCUUUUCCAGGAGGAGGAUGUCUCAUUGAUUAUGUGCCUCAAGUAUGCCACCUACUCACCAACAAGGUGCAGUAUGUGA
rnacentral:lncRNA from 1 species